rfam:Triticum aestivum genome assembly, contig: Triticum_aestivum_CS42_TGACv1_scaffold_398295_5AS
GGAUGCGAUCAUACCAGCACUAAAGCAUCGGAUCCCAUCAGAACUCCGAAGUUAAGCGUGCUUGGGAGAGAGUAGCACUAGGAUUGGUGACCUCCUAGGAAGUCCUCGUGUUGCAUUCC